rnacentral:tRNA from 1 species
AAGAGUAAUAAUGUUAUAAAAUAAAGCUGCUAACUUUACUUUGAGCAACUCAUAAUUGUCCUACUCUUU